AUUGAACGCUGGCGGAAUGCUUUACACAUGCAAGUCGAACGGCAGCACGGACUUCGGUCUGGUGGCGAGUGGCGAACGGGUGAGUAAUAUAUCGGAACGUAUCCAAUAAUGGGGGAUAACUAAUCGAAAGGUUGGCUAAUACCGCAUACGCCCUACGGGGGAAAGCUAGGGACCUUCGGGCCUGGCGUUAAUGGAGCGGCUGAUAUCUGAUUAGCUAGUAGGUGAGGUAAAGGCUCACCUAGGCGACGAUCAGUAGCUGGUCUGAGAGGACGACCAGCCACACUGGAACUGAGACACGGUCCAGACUCCUACGGGAGGCAGCAGUGGGGAAUUUUGGACAAUGGGCGAAAGCCUGAUCCAGCCAUUCCGCGUGAGUGAAGAAGGCCUUCGGGUUGUAAAGCUCUUUCGCAAGGGAAGAAAACUUAGGCGCUAAUAUCGCUUGAGGUUGACGGUACCUUGAUAAGAAGCACCGGCUAACUACGUGCCAGCAGCCGCGGUAAUACGUAGGGUGCGAGCGUUAAUCGGAAUUACUGGGCGUAAAGCGUGCGCAGGCGGUUUUGUAAGUCAGAUGUGAAAUCCCCGAGCUCAACUUGGGAACUGCGUUUGAAACUAUAAGACUAGAAUAUGUCAGAGGGGGGUAGAAUUCCACGUGUAGCAGUGAAAUGCGUAGAGAUGUGGAGGAAUACCAAUGGCGAAGGCAGCCCCCUGGGAUAAUAUUGACGCUCAUGCACGAAAGCGUGGGGAGCAAACAGGAUUAGAUACCCUGGUAGUCCACGCCCUAAACGAUGUCUACUAGUUGUUGGUGGAGUAAAAUCCAUGAGUAACGCAGCUAACGCGUGAAGUAGACCGCCUGGGGAGUACGGUCGCAAGAUUA
rnacentral:rRNA from 1 species